UUUAUUAGUUAUAAUUAAUAAUAAAGCCUGCUCAAUGAAAAUUAAAUAGCCGCUUAUAGUGCUAAGGUAGCAUAAUAAUUUGUCUUUUAAUUAAAGACUAGAAUAAAAGGCUUAACAUCUUAAUUAAUUUUUAAAGAAAAUUUAAUUAAAAUUAUCUUAAUUGUAAAAAGACAAUUUUUAAAAAGAAAGACGAUAAGACCCUAUUGAACUUUACUUUAGUUUAACUGGGGCAGUUAAUUAAUUAUUAUUUUAAAAAAAUUUAAACCAUUAAUUUGACCUAAUAUAAUUAAUAAAAUAAUUAAGUUACCAUAGGGAUAACAGCGUAAUAAAAUUUUAAAGAUCUUAUAAAAAAUAAAGAUUGCGACCUCGAUGUUGAUUUAAUAUCCUAAUUUACGCAAUAGUUAAUUAAGGAAGUCUGUUCGACUUUUAAAAAAUUACAUGAUUUGAGUUCAGACCGGUGUAAACCAGGUCGGUUUCUAUCUUCUAAAUUAUUUCUUCUAGUACGAAAGGACCUAAGAAAAUAAUAAUAUU
rnacentral:rRNA from 1 species